GUGAGUCUUACAAUGGGAAGAUGGGGGAGGCAGCACACUGGGGUCAGGAGUGGAGAUACUUAGGCUCCCCAGAGAAAUUAGUCACAAGUCUUAUCCCUUCAUCUCCAUUUACAGCCAUUUAUUUGGGAGCAACAUACUUUAAAUGAGUGAUAAACAAAAUGUCUCCCCACAGCCCCCACCCCAGCAUGUGUUCUGAAGUUCACAGGAAGGCUUCUCCUCAUUUGCUUUGGGGCCCGCAGGCUGCCUGCUAACAGCUGGGUCUUCCCAUGAACAAAUUAGACAGUUAAUGUUCCAGGAUGAAGAGGGCUUCGGGGAACAGAAUCUGCCGUUUAUUUGACUUGCUUCAUUAGACACAGUGCCAUCAUACCAAAAUUAGAAAAAAGAAGGAACUCAGCGGAAAUCAGCUACACAAGAAGAACCUCUCAGUUCUGAGAAUUCACAUUAACCAGUGAUUAAGAAAUAUUAAAAAGGGCUGAUAGUCCACUACGUUAUCAAGUUCAAAGCCUAAGAAAUAUUGAACAUUUCCACACAUGAAUGUGGGUACUAUGUUUAAUUUGAGAAUGGCCAACUGUCCUCGAAGUCUCAAUCUCUUUGGAGCCUACCAGCUCCGAGAGAAGUUUGAGGAUGCUGCAAAACCCUCCCCUGCAAAUCCAUCUACUCCUCCCACUUCUAUCCUAAUGGGUAUAGUUCUUGGCUGUGCUGAGGAUCUGUAAGGCACCAGAUGUGAAAGUAAGGAAGAAAGAUGGAUGUGGAAGAAAGUCACUGCCCAGAGAAUAAGGAGACCUGGAUUCUAAUCUCAGCUCUGCCAUUAACUAGCUGUGAGACUCAAGAAUAACUAAUCAUUUUGAUAACUCGUUUUUUUACUUUUUAAAAUGAGGAGCCAAGUUUAGACAAUGAGCUCGGCUCUUCACCAGUGAUAAAGUGUCUGGGACAUGCUUCCAUUCAAGCAAUGCUCUUCCUUCUUGUCUAUACUUUAUCCAAGAAAGAAUAAAUCAUUUCCAAAUAUUUUCAAAGAUGAAACUAUGGCUCAAAAGGGAAUAAGAGAUCAAGGCAAGCAUGGACAUCUUGUACGUGGAAGUGCAGACCAGAACUUGUAUCACAGCCAGUCAUAUCUGGUGCUUUCCAUGCUACUUUUACAUACAUGUAUCCUUAAAUUUGAUCCUCUUCUAGUUUAGUCUAAACUCUUUACUUUGUAACUUCCAAACCUAAAAGGUGCAGCAGACAUUGACAAUCUUAAUUCAUUUGUCAGGUCAUUUGGUUUCUUGGUUUCCUAAGGGACUGUAUCCUUCCUGCCCUGCUAAUGGGGAGACUUUUUGUUUUUUGUUUUCUGUUUUCCUUAAUAAGUGAGGCCAAGUGCUGUGUGUAACUGUGGGGUGGGCAAAAUUAGGAUUCCUGAAUCACUUCACUUUUUGUUGCCUUUCUCUUGGGAGAAUGGUUACCAUUGCAGAGAAGCAUAGUUAAAAUUGCUUUUGUGUUUCAUAAACGAAUUCAUACUUAGAUGUCAUUGACCAACAACUAAAUAGUAUAUCAGAGAUGAAAGGCAUCCUAGAGAUGACCAAAUCAAGCUCUUCAUUACUCAAAGGAGAAAAAAAUCCAGAAAGUGGAUGACAUAUGUUGAACUAGUGAUGGAAGUAGAACAGGGUAGUGUAUUUUCUGCCUCUUAAUUCUUCAUUUUUUACACUAAACCAGAUAUUAGGUAUAUGACUAGGAAGAUACGUGAGGUAAGGAGCAGAGGGUUUGGCUCCAAACUCAUCAUGUAGUCAUCCUCCUCCAAGCUCUGAGAGCUUCUCUCACAUGUUAAUUCAGAGGCAGUAACAAAAGAAUUAAUGCUCCUGAAGGUUUCUCAAUUUUAUCAUCUGGAAAGUGGAGUGAACCUUUGCAGAGUCCUUCUGAAGAGGGCUGACCUUGGACUGCACUAGGUUAUAUUCAUUUGCUAUUACUCAGCAAUAAAAAGUAAAUGCAACAAUAUAAA